CCUACGGGAGGCAGCAGUGGGGAAUAUUGGACAAUGGGCGAAAGCCUGAUCCAGCAAUGCCGCGUGAGUGAUGAAGGCCUUCGGGUCGUAAAGCUCUUUUACCAGGGAUGAUAAUGACAGUACCUGGAGAAUAAGCUCCGGCUAACUCCGUGCCAGCAGCCGCGGUAAUACGGAGGGAGCUAGCGUUGUUCGGAAUUACUGGGCGUAAAGAGUACGUAGGCGGUUAUUCAAGUCAGAGGUGAAAGCCCGGGGCUCAACCCCGGAACUGCCUUUGAAACUAGGUAACUAGAGUCUUGGAGAGGUUAGUGGAAUUCCGAGUGUAGAGGUGAAAUUCGUAGAUAUUCGGAAGAACACCAGUGGCGAAGGCGACUAACUGGACAAGUACUGACGCUGAGGUACGAAAGCGUGGGGAGCAAACAGGAUUAGAUACCCUGGUAGUCCACGCCGUAAACGAUGAUAACUAGUUGUUCGGUCACUUGGUGACUGAGUGACGCAGCUAACGCAUUAAGUUAUCCGCCUGGGGAGUACGGUCGCAAGAUUAAAACUCAAAANANAUAGAGNGNGAGAGCGACGAGACGACGACGAGGAGAG
rnacentral:rRNA from 1 species